rnacentral:tRNA from 1 species
GGUGAAGUGGCCGAGUGGUUAUGGCGUCACGUUUAGGUCUACGUAUGUAAACCCGUGAUGGGAAACCGCGCGAGUUCGAAUCUCGUCUUCAUCA